GUCCCUGUAGUUCAAUGGAUAGAACGGAGGUUUCCUAAACCUUAAAUGCAGGUUCAAUUCCUGCCGGGGACACCA
rnacentral:tRNA from 1 species